rnacentral:tRNA from 1 species
AGGUUAAAUAACAUAAAUGGUGAAUGUGAAAGAUUGCAAAUCUUUUAAUAUCGGUUCGAAUCCGAUUUUAACCUU